AUUGAACGCUGGCGGCAGGCCUAACACAUGCAAGUCGAGCGGAUGAAGGGAGCUUGCUCCUGGAUUCAGCGGCGGACGGGUGAGUAAUGCCUAGGAAUCUGCCUGGUGGGGGGUGAUGUCGGGAAGCGAGGGGUACUAAUGCAGAAGUCGUGAUGGGGGAAGAAGUGGGUGUUCUUACGACCCCACGCUAUCUGAUGCGAGGUCGGAUUAGCUAGUUGGUGGGGUAAAGGCCUACCAAGGCGACGAUCCGUAACUGGUCUGAGAGGAUGAUCAGUCACACUGGAACUGAGACACGGUCCAGACUCCUACGGGAGGCAGCAGUGGGGAAUAUUGGACAAUGGGCGAAAGCCUGAUCCAGCCAUGCCGCGUGUGUGAAGAAGGUCUUCGGAUUGUAAAGCACUUUAAGUUGGGAGGAAGGGCAGUAAGUUAAUACCUUGCUGUUUUGACGUUACCAACAGAAUAAGCACCGGCUAACUUCGUG
rnacentral:rRNA from 1 species